CCAAAAAAAUAUAGUGCACUCAAGCCUACACUCACCCUUUUCUUCAAGCUGUACUUGUGGUGAAAAUGAAAAUAUUUGUACCUAAGGUGAGGUGAGGUUCGUUUCAUGACAGUUGUAUGUUGCUGUUCGUUCAUAUUCGUUCGGAUUUGUCAGACUCCUGUUGCCCCUAAAAGAUAUUGCUGGAAAAUCAUAUUCAGUCAGGCUCUGGUUUUCAUUUUCACAAAAGUUUUCGGUAUUAAAUUUUCAAAGUAAAUCACUUUUGAAAUCACAGAAAUUGGGGGUCCCGUUUUCACCAACCGCUAGAUUUCUUACUUGUCAAAACGAAAACAUUUUCCUCAACGAAUUGAAAAGCAAACGUCUUCUUAAAUGAAAAAAUAUAUGACUUAUUAAUGCAUUGAAAUAAACUUGACACCUAUGUAUAUGUAUCAGGGCAGUUUAACUUGUGCUUUCUUUAUAAAUAAUUUGUUCUUAACCCAACCUCAAAUUUGGCUCGGAAAUAAUUGGUCUGGGCAACCACUUUUUGUUUUGGUGCAAACAGCUGACGCAGUCCCAUUUGGUUAUCAGAACGUUGACAAGAAAUAAUUUUUUGCGCAUAACAGCACAAAUGUGCAUUUAACAGCGCAGACUGUGCUUGUAACAUGCGCGUAACAGAACAUCUGGGUGAAAGCAUAAAUCAUCUCUUCAAGAUGAAAUCCUGGUAGGAUUCAUGAGAGACAAUCUGGAUUUGGAAAGAUGAUUUGUGAAGGGCAACCGAGCUGUUGUCGAUGCCAAGUGGGCAGGGCUUUGCGGCGCUCUUUGCUGUUUGGCCGCCAAUCAAGCAUGAAUUGGGCUUAACACUACUAUCUUAAAUUCUACAAUUUCAGGUUUGGGCAGAUUGGAAGACGAACAUCCGUAAGAAGUUGGCCAAGAACAAAUUGCAAACUCAAGCUACAGGCGGAGGGCCCUACACACAGAAAUUGGUUGGGAAAUUGGAGAAGGAAGUGGAAAAACUGUGUGGCCUGUAUGAAAUGGUGGAAGGAGUAGCUGGGCCAUAAGCUUGACCCUUAGCAAUUUAAUUUUUAAUGUGUUAAAAACACAAGUGUUUCAUCUAAAAAGUUCGGAUCUUCUUAGAUCACGUAAUUUCUCCCGUCAUUUUGUUUUAAAACAAUAAAUUGAAAAAUUAAAGGCAUUUGUUUACAAGCAGC